rnacentral:snRNA from 1 species
GCGCUCACUUCGGUAGCACAUAUAUUAAAAUUGGAACGAUACAGAGAAGAUUAGCAUGGUCCCUGCGCGAGGAUGACACCCAAAUUCAUGAAGCAUUCCAUAUUUUU